GCCAGCAGCUAGCUCUAACAUGGUCUCUCACAUGGUCACCCACUGAAGCUAAGCAGGACUGAGCCUGGUCAGUAUCUGGAUGGGAGACUGAAUGGGAAAGCUAGGUUGCUGCCAGAA
rnacentral:rRNA from 1 species